rnacentral:rRNA from 1 species
UGACUCACCUCGACUCGGUGACUCGCCACUCGGACCUAUUUCCUAGCUACCGGCCGCCGCUCCGUCCUCGCGGCAACGACCUCUUCUUCCUCCGCCAGAUGGCACUUCCCACGGGCCCUACGCGGCACCUCGCCUCCUUCUGCGACUUGGGGCCGCAGGGGAUGUUCCUCAAGAAGGUGUAGACCUGGUAGUAGGAGCGGAGCACAAACGGUCAUAGCAGUGAUAAGGGGAAGAACAUAAAGUACCAUGCAAAAAGAUUGCGUUUUCUUUUUGGUAUUGUAAACCCUAGUUUUCUCAUGUUUUGAGCGGGUACCUUAAUACACUCAUGUAGCAAAGAAAAAACUUCUGUAAUUCGAAACGUAACAUCCUUUACAAUUUACUACUUAGAACUUUGAUAUUUAUGCGAGAUCAAAACAGACACAUGUAUCAAACACAGACGUAAUGUAUAAGUAAACAGUACAAUAAUAAAUCAAGGGGUUCUCAUUAUUCAAUACUAUAGUAAAAUGAUUGUAUUUAACGUACGUAGACGUCAUACCUUGUCCUCGUCACAAGACAUGUAAUCAGGACUGAACCAAUAAAUACAAUUAUUAUCACAUCAUGACAUAGAUACGUUUACAGCCGGGUUGUAAUAGGUACUGGUGUCCAUGGGAAACUUUUUAUAACACACUAUGAGGAGAGUUUAUUGUCUAUGCUCUGAACAUGUAACGGUUUUGUCAGCUCCUGUAACCUAAGAUACGACCCAAACAUCCGCGGAGGAUAUACGAACCAUCUUGAAAUUGGAGGUGACGAACCCCCUACCAUCGUCUGGCGUAACCCUCUUUCGGUCAAUAACACGAACCUGAAAAGAGGCACUAAAAUAAGUCACGAAACAAGCCUGAUUCACACGUAAUGACCUACCGUCAUAGAUGUGCUAAAGAAGAACCAAGAAACUUGCCGUAUUAACCUGGAUAUUCUCGAAUACGAUAACUUCAAACAGCUGGUCUCGUGGUGCGAUAACGUAAUAGUGAACAAUCGUGUCGUACCCGUUAUCCAGAGUAAAAUCCUGGUUGCUAACCGCCUAUAGAACGUGUCGGAUGUCUUUUUAUAGGUUUCAAUAAAGGGCAGCUGAGUAAUAAGCCUUCCAAGGGUAUAAAUAAUGGAACAGACACAUAUAGUCAGAAGUCAAAAGGACAAGAUUAUUCGACGCAAACCGAGGGCCUCUGUGAUGUAUUGGUGUUGUGACUACUUUUCCUUCUAGUUCGCUCACUUAGAAACUGACGUUAAAAAAGAUGAUGCCUUCACUAACAGCUCGUAUUAUAAUGAAGUUGUUGCUUUUUGUUACAUAACUUCUUGACCGGUAACUACAGUAGAUAAUAAGACAAGACAUAGUAUAAGAGGAAUACCCGACUUUCACUGUCUUUCAUACCACCUGAUUCAAAGAGCAGACUCCUACAACCAGUUCAAGAACGUUAAUGUCCACAAUCGUAAGAACAUAUGGUUUGAAAAUAAAAAGGGGCAUAAUAGUCUCAAUACCCUGGUUAGUUAUGAAGAGCACAACGCUACUCAGACAGACACCACGAAGACAAAUGUAUACGUGGUUAGUGUGUAGAGAGUUCUGGAACCAGCAGUUAUCGUCAUUUGUAACGUAGCUAAGAAUUUUUAUUAAAAGAGUAAUGGUAACAAUGAUCAAGAAAGUAAGAAGUCUUAUUAAGACACUGAGUUCUAGUUUCUCGUUGGCGUUUACCGAAUCGGUGGUGAAAUUACAGGAAAACAUUUUGUAAACGAGGUUGUCCUCCACCUUAACACAAAAGUACCCGUGUCUUUGCGGUUGUACAAAAGAAAAAAGGUCCACUGGUCUACAACAAAAAAGAAAACCGAUAACAGCUCGAACACCCUGAACAAACCUGUAAGUUCGGCAAAGAACAACACGGACUAGUUAAAAGAAGUUUAAUCGUGAGAUCUAAACAUGCACGAUAAUACUCACGCACGGACAUAGCAUGAGAAGAAUGUCUUAAUAUAGGUAUGAAACCACCAUAUGCGCGAAGCUUAACCCAACAUUGCAUUAAUGCACCAAUCCUAAAACGCCUCAUAGAUUUUAUUCCUCUUUUGGUAAAAGUUCACAGUAAUAAUAGAGGGACGUUUGUUUAUCACGGUAAUAAAUAAUUAAUGUCUUUUUAUGAUACUUAGUUUACGUGGGGAUAACAGGUUAACAGUACCUCGGAAAAGAAAACUCUUUUAGAUGAAAUAUAUGCACACGUACACACGUGAGACCACAACACCGUAGGAUUACUUUACAAAAGGAAUAUCUCUCUAGUGUACGUACUUAGGUCUUAAAAUGUACAGUACGACUGUAGUAGUAUAAUUAACAAAAGAAACUCAAAAAAAUAGAACGUUUAUCAAUUAAACUAUCGACGAUCUACUAAGAACAAAGUUCUACUAACAGAGCUUCUAACACAUAUCGAUGACAACCACGUUAUCAACGGGAAAACACAAAACCUCUAACAACUGUCUUUCUCCGUACCUGACUAAACAAACGAUCACGUGUGUCUCUCUUUAUCAGGUA